GGUGAUGAUAACAACACGGAUACACCUGUUCCCAUUCCGAACACAGAAGUUAAGCGUGUUAAUGUCGAAAAUACUUGCGAGUUACCUUGCUGGGAAGAUAGAUAGUCGCC
rnacentral:rRNA from 1 species